rnacentral:tRNA from 1 species
GGUAAAAUGGCUGAGAUAGGCGAUAAAUUGUAAAUUUAUUAACGAGUUUAGACUCUUUUACCA